ensembl:lncRNA
UGAAAAGGAAAAUAAUGCUAUGACUAAUGUGAUUGCUCUCCCUACACUGCCAUCCGGUGGAUGCAGAAUUCAUUUUCUGUAAAUGAAAGGGAAGUUCCCCUGCUGAUAUCCAACUUCCAAACUUGAGCUGACUCUUGCUUGUAACACAGUGUCCAGGCUAAGGGGGAAAAUGACUGACAGAAAUAACGAGAAGGAGCAAGUUGUGCUGAUCGUGGCCUCCUACCUACUGGUCUGCAAAUGGGGCUUCACCAUGCUGAGCUGCUUCUGAGCACUGCAAAUCCACUGAUUCUGACCACCGUUGACUGUGUUAGCCGCUUUGUUAUCCCAGGAACAUGUCUGGAGAAGAGAGUGCAGCAACAUCUGGAGGAUGGUGAACUGCUACGGUGAGGAAAACUGCAUGAUCUAAGACAGAAUGGCCAGUCCUCAGAAGCUGAGCUGGAAGGAUCAUUUGGGCAUUCCAGCUGCUGCAGGUGGGCCAGGCUUCUGUGUGCACUGAGCAUUGCAUCCAGAGGUGGCUCCUUCCCAGUGCCAUGCAGAGCGUUGAAUCUGUCUCUCUCCGUGAUUCCUGGUGAAGACUGAAAGGCAGCCCGGCUCCUGCAGGACGGAAGGUGCUGUAAUAAAUCCCUGCAGCCACCUGUAGUGGGAGCACAGAAGAGUGCCACCAUGUAGGACAUCCUGUCACCUGUGAUCCUGCCUGGAACCCCAAGCUCUUUCCAAACUGUUUGAACUGCAAGAGCAGGGAUCUGCUGGGAGGAUGAGGAGGAGCUGGAGGGUAACGACUGCUGCAUACCCUUCCUUGACCAGCUGGGUGAUCUCAGCAUGGCUGUCUGCUGAACUCCUCAUGUCUACAGAAGGAAGAGCUAUUGAGUGGUUAUAGCUGAAAGCCUUGCCUAUCUAAGGAAAUGUCAGCAACAUAUUGAAGCAUCUCCUGGAGGCUUAUUACUCAAGAGAGAGGAGCUGUGCACCGGGAGCCAAAUUAAACUGAGCAAAGAAGAGGUUGUUUCCACCGCAGGGAUGGAACAGAUCGUUUUGCUCAAGACCAGUAGGAGAAGGAACAAGGCCUACAGGUCCCCCGGAAUUGUGUGAAGGAAGGACUACUCCUGCUCCAUUGGAACCUGUGGUCUAUGUAUGUCCCCAGCAAGACCUUCACAGAACAUCAGGCAAGGGAUUGUACUGGAAGUUUCAGCAGUGUCUGCCAGGCACAACUGCUCUGGGAAAAGGCCAUCCAGCUGUGGUACCCACAGUUAAAGAAGGAUGUUGAAAAAUUGGAGAUAUUUCAGAGAAGAGCCACAAGAAUGACCAAAAGAUUGGAAAACAUGCCUUAGCAGUGGAGUCCAUCUGCUUAGCUUACCAAGCAGCAAGAAAAGUUUUGAGUACUGCUUCCAAGCCAGUUUUAUAAGGAACGGAAGCAAUACACCCCUGUUCAAGGCAGCACACAACUUUUCAGCACAGAGGUAGUGCCUGUGGCAGCAUUGGGAAGAAUCCAUGAGACAGCAGUGUCAAGCUCUCUGCACUGGCUUUCUGGCAAGGGUUCUCUCCCUGAGCAUGUUUUUUCAUGGGAUUUUCAACAGUAAUGCUUGUAAGUAUUGGUCAGCUGUAAAUCCUCCAUAUUAUCUUCAUAGAAAGUAGUCCAGAACUCCAGAUUGAUGAUGAUGCUGUCCAGGACACACAUCAGCACUUAAGAGGAGCGCAGCUGUGAACUUGGUGUGUGCAGUUUCUGCCCUUGUGCUAAGUGCUCCAGCCCAUUCAUGCCACCACUGUAACAACAGAGUAUUUACUCUUGGAAAAUAUUUGCAAAUAAAUUUGCAAGAGUAUUUACUCUUGCAAAAACUGGGCUGUACACCAAAUUAUUUGCAUUGUCUUCAGUGCCCACGUUGUUUUGAAAUCUUUUAUGUCAAACUCCAGGAGCUUUGCAAUGCAGGAGGGAAGUGUUUGUUACCAACAUGUUCCCUUCUUCAUCUGAAGGUGUUUACUAUCAUGACUAAACUUACCUGAAUGUUUUAGUUAUUGACAGUUUGUAGACACUGAAGAUAGACUGUGUAAUUAUUACAUGUAAUAGAUGUGUAGAUCAAUUUUACAAAUAUCGUUCCUGGUAUCUUUUAACACAUCUGUUCCUUAAAGAAGUGCUUUAUUGGAAAUUUGGUUUGGAUCAGCUGGAGACCUCUGGAACUACUCGGGUAUAAAACUAGAAAUACAUUUUCCGUUCUGCAUUAUGCUGUCAAUAUUGGGUCUUGUUAGCAUAGGAAGGGGUUGUUGUUGAAAUGAACUUCAUGAGGAUCCAAUCAAAGCAAAAAAUAAUACUGAAAUAUAUCAUACUAAAUCCUGCAAGGUAAGCGUUCUGUCAGGAGGUAAUCUGGAGCAAUAUUUCACCUGGAACAAAAAAAAGAAUGAGGUGGGGAAGAAUCCAAAAACAAGUUUCUGUUUUCUGGAUGUUGUAGUAUGUUUGUUUGUUUGUUUUCAGUUGUUAAAUAAAUGUAUCAUCAGGUUGAAGAAGUCCCUGUUUUAUAGGGGAAAAAAAAAAAAAAGAAUGAAUGUUUGUUUUCUGGGAUAUGUCUUUCAGUAUGCCUAUAUUCUCCCUCAAAAGAGGCCCCACGUGGUAAAUUUGCCCUCUUCAACCAAGCUCACUUUGCCAGUAAGCCUUUCAGCACCAAGCUGUACUGCUUGUGUUCAGACAGCAAAGGGUGAAUCACUGUCUUAAUUAAGGUCAGUAUAUUACAUCGUUGCUAUUCUUCCAGCUAUUCUAGGCUGAUGAAUAAAGAGUGGAAAAUGGGGCACAGACUUUUUUUCCAUUGAACUUUGGUGACUGUCCAGUUUACAGGUAGGUCCUAAACAUUCUCACUGAUAGUGUGCUUUGAUUGAAAUUCACAGUUCCAUCCAAGGUUUUCGUCAAAAGACUGAAUAAGUUGAAUGCAGAAGACAAAGGCAGUUGGAACAUCCCAUUUGCUCAGCUCAUCAUUGGGAAUAAAGAGGAAGGUGGGCCAUUGGUUACAAUGGAAGUGUUCUUUUUUUUAGCAUAGAUCUUUGUAGUUUUGGUGCCCCUUAAUGGUUUUGUUUAAGUCUAAAAUACAUUGGUGGAAAUAAAUCAUACCAAUUUCUCCAACAGUAGCUGGAACUGUAGUUGAAAGCUGGUGCUGGGAGCUGAAGAGGAAAAAAUGGGCAUGGAAGAGAAAUGGAAGUGGGUUCUACAUAACUACAGCGUUUUCUCCCAUUAAUUUCUAUGUGUUUCAUUGCAGGCCUCAAGGCAAAGAAUUUUCUAUUUGGGCUGCAGGAGGGUGUGUUGAAGUGUUGGAAGAGGCAGGAUGAGAGAGCUGCUAUGUUGCUUAGGUAGUUGUUCUUAGAAAAGCAUCGUUGGCAAACCAGCACAAUAAUUUUGCAAAAGAGAAAAAGCAACUUGCCCAGGAAACAGAAUUUUGCUGACAAGGUGUUAAGAAAAGAAAUAUCUGCUUUUAUUUAACUCUGUUCUCUAGAGAGAUUUAGCAUUUUGCUAUGUAGCUCUUUCAUACCAAGCUAACUUCUAAAGUAUAGACAGUUUCUCAGCCAACGUACUUUUUAAAGGUGCAAUACUGCUCCAUUUUCAGAAGGUGUUUGAAUCUUGUUUGACAUAUAUUAAAUCUGUUAUUGUUUCUGUCUUAAAAUGAGGAGCUGUACUUCAAGAUCUGUAAAAAUAGAGAUGACAUGGUUGAAGCUUACAGGAGUCAGCAAUGGACAGUCAUUAAUGAUAGGUCAUUUACCCAAAGUAUCAGAAGAGAGAUCUCACAUGGAUUCCUCUAUACCUCUGGGAGAUUGAUCUCCACGCUCAUCUCUCCACGCCCAAGGCAUGGCCAGUCAGCAGCUCCAAGGAGGGUAUGCUGUCCAUGCUGGUGCUCCAACUGGAUCAUUGGCAACAGUUUUUAAGACACAUGAUGACAGUGCUAAAAUAGUGUUACAAUGCUAUUAUGAAAAGUCUUCUCCACAGUGGAUCUGGAUGCAAAGGAGUGCUUGGAUUCAGUUUGUUGGUGUGGCUUUUCAGUAAUUAUGGAAGAAGAGGGAAGGGAAGAGGGAGAAUAGAGGUGAGGCUUUGGCCAUCUCUUCAGGAUGGUCUGUUGCCAUUUGGAGACUGUCCUACAGAUGUCUCUCUCUAAAAACCAGGAGAGAGGGUGAAAGCAUUUUUGUAUUCAGGCUCCUAUCAACAUAGGAGCACUUGUAGUUAUCCCCCAUCAAGACACAUUAAGUAAGGAUGCCACACAAGAUUAUGAAAGUGCUGUAUUUUAUGACCUCAAUGCAAAACCUCUAUUAGUUUCAACCUGUUUCUGGUAACGUGUCUAAUACUAAAUUAUCUCUUUUAUGUGGUUUGUGUAUUACAUGCUAACCUCAGAUUGCUUUCAUGUGUUCCACUUUGAGGAGUUCAAGAGUUUUGCAGGAAGAGCAGUAAAAUGUGUUUUUGACAAUCUCUUUAGUUUCUAGUCCAAGCUGAGUUUCUAAUGACAGUUUGAGCAGCAAUGAUUACUUGGAACAGCAGGCGUAAGCAGCUUGUGUGCUGCUGACAUGUGUGAGUGCAUGUGCAUAGGAGGCGACUACUAGGGAAAACCUAUUUGGGAAGAGCUGGUACAGCUCUGGUCAAAGGCUGGAACAGCACAAUGAUGAGCAGAUCAGGAUGGACUACGAAACAGCAUUACAGAGGCCUUGUUUUCUCUGGUUAUUGAGAUAGUGUCAGUACCAGCAUGAUAGUGGUCAUGAAGACUGUGCUUUCCACAGUGCCAUGUGCAUUUCCUAAUCUCUUUCAUUUAAAACUGGGUCUUUUACACCACCUGAUCUUACAGUAGUCUUCCAUACGCUACGUGCGUGAAGGAUGAAGUGAGCAGUUACAAGGGGCUGGAUUAACACACAACAUGAAGCAGGAGCAGGGAGACUGAGCCAUGACAGGGUAACACGGUGAUUGCAGCAGAGCCAGGGUGAGGAGCAGAGGCAUGCCAGCAUGCCAGGGCCACGUGCCGGGGAUGCCUAUCCCAGACUGCUUAUGGCCAAUGGCUGUCAGUAUGAUGGAUGCCAUAGCGUGCGUUGGCAGACAACAUGUUCUCUAUGGCCUGCCUCCCUCUGCCAUGCAGGAAACAGGGAUCCUAGGGGCAAGGCACUGGGAAGCCCCGAACAUCCCUGUUUGCAGCACCUGCUUUGUUCAUCCAUGCCAUGGGCCCUCCCCAGAGGAAGAGGUGGGACCACUCCUGCCUCUUCCUGAGCAGGAUGAUCUCAGCAUGAGUCACUUGCAGCACGGUAUGGACCCUGUUUCUGGCACUGGAAACAGUGCCCAACUAGCAGCUGCAUGGUUCAGCACAUCUCUGACGCAGCUAGGGCAGGGCACCUUCCUAACUGAAGCAUUCAAGGGCAAGGCUUGAGUGUGCUGUAAUUUUGCGCGUAGUUCUUGUUGGAGAACAGGAUGCAGUGAGCAGAAGAGGGUGGGGUUGGUGAAAAUCUGUUUCUCUCAUUCUUGGUGGCCGCUGCGUGUCUGCACAGUGUGCUCUUCUGGGGCUAUAAGGAAAGCUGCAGGAGCUGUGAGCUCUUUCCUAGCGGUGUUAGCUGUAACUCAAAGAGAAAUCUUGGUUCACUGGUGUCUCAGUAGGGUCUGAGUGGCUGAGGAUUAUUGCUGAAAUCUCCAGUCGAGUGCCAGCCAUUUUACUGUGAGAAGCUGCCUUGCUUUUGCUUGAGUCGUCUUCUCAAUAUCUCAUGAGAUUCUCAAAUAUCUCCUACACCAACACCUUCUUUUCCUCACAGAGGUCUACUCUUCCUUUGAGUCCCUGGAAAACACUACCCCAAAGCCAUUUGCUUGGGCUGAGUGACAUGCUGAGCAGUUAAUGAACCAGCACAGCUGUGUUAAAGCAUCUCAGCAAUGAAUACAGGCUAAAAUAGAAGCCACAAGCGGGGAACAUGCAAACCCUUCCUGUGCCAGAGAUGAAAUCCAGAGAAUGCUGGGCUGGAUUGCUGGCUUUUCACGCCUCUCGCUAAUUAAAUCCUAGUCUGUAGUCCACUUGUCCACUCCAUCUGAGCUGGUGGCUUCUUAACAGCUUUGUAGGUGCAUUUCCACUGGGGCAUCUUCCAGAAACAACAGAAACUCACACACACCACCUUUAAGCCAGAGACAUGUAAUUAGGUUGUUUUUCGGAAGGUUGGUUUGCUACAGGCAAAUAGCCCAUCACUAAGUUUGAACGGCCAGCUUGUCCAGUUUUUAACCUCACAAAGAUUUUGUUACAGUUAAUCCUUUACUGAUGGUCCCUGCAUCCUGUUCCAAGUAACUUAAAUGAUACAGCUUAAGUCUAUUUAAAAGGAUGGGUGGAGUACUUGUCCCAUUCAUUCCAGUGAAGAAACAAACCCCGGCUAGCCAAAAGGCUUCAAGUAAGAUUGGGUGAUACUCAGAACACGAAGAUUUUUGGUUUGUAUAACAAUCCAAGUGUGGUGAGUGGAAGAAAGUUGUCUAGUUUUUAAUCAACUCAACAUUUGUGCAGAGCUGCAUGUAGAAGUGGAAUCAGUAUUUACUAUGUAGCCAAUUCUCAUAAUUUUAUCAUGAAUUUUGCAAUGUUAUGCUUUUGGGAAAAAAGAAUAACCCACUAUUAUGUAAGAAAUCUAAUUUUCAUUUAAAAGAAAGAAAGAAAAAAAAGUGUUUCUAGCCCUUGCACUUAUGUAGAGUGUGACCUAAGUACACCCCAAAGUAAAAUGAACAACAAAAACCCUCCCCCAAACGUUAUGGUUUCUGAGUCAAGCCCUGUACACUCAUGUUCCAUUUUUCAUUUGAUUUUUUUUUGUUGUUGGCAUUUCUGCAGUUAUAAGUCAAUGGGUGCCCUGAAGGAAAGAUUUGGUCUUCUUUGCCUGAGCUUGCCCUGCAAAAGGCUAUCGGUACAGCUCACCUGUUCAUGAAGUACCAGAUAGACCCAUUGGAAUCAGAGCAAUCUCUUGUUCCUGAGCUCUGCUUCAGUUUUGCUGGUGAAGCUCAAGUCUGAGGCUGUGCUCUGACCAAUCUCUCCUUCCUUUACUGUAAAGACACGGUGAAAUGGUAAUCCCUUUCUGAAGGAGGAAACAGGAUGUUCCUCUCCCUUGGCCUGGCAGCACUGGCCAGCUGUGCACAGCUGCACACCAGCCCAGCAGCAGAAAGUUCAAGUUCACCCUUCCUAAGCAAGGAUCUAUGCCUUGGGCUCAAGCCAAGCUGGCAACCACCAACAGAGAGAAGCAGCACAAAGCAUAGCAGACCCCGCAUAUAGGACCCACGUUUGCACCAUUGCCAUUGCUCCACCACUGAGCUAGAGAGGCUUUCAUGCAGACAAAACUUAAGGACUGUAUUUUGGGCAUGUCUUUGGAAAGGCUUCUAAUCGUUGAAAAGUUCUUCACUUGAAUUCAUCAUCAUCAUCAUCACCGAAUGAGUGACAGGGAUUUAAACCUUAAUAUUGUGUGGUGAUGUGCUGACUGGGAUCUGCAACCUGCUCCCUGUGUCCACAUGGGGUAUGAGGAAUGCCAAGCAGUGCCCACUGUGGUUGCAUACAUCUGUCUGGGCAGAAGAGAGGUGUGUAAAGAAGAUGGUCUGAACUUCAGGAUUGCCCACCUGCUCCUGGGGGUUUGUCUGGAGGACUCAGAUCCUUCCUCCCACUCACCUGUGCAGUAACUGGGUUCUCUUGGUGAAGAUCCACUCCCUUUUUCACAACAGGAUGUAUGAACAGUUUGCAAAAUUUGGAGAAGAAAAAUGGCUGCAGCUCCCUUCAUUGAACUAACUAGUGGGAGGAAGGAAAGAAAAGCCCUGCAGUUAAUUGAAAUAACGAAUUGAAAAGGAAAAUCUCCAGGACACCCCUUGUCACUGGGGUUAGAAAGGCUGUGAUUUUUCCACCCAGCACUGGACAGGCUCCAGGCAAGCUCCAGGAUGAAUUCUUAAUCUGGGAUAGGAACUUUGUUGUCCUGGCUUUAAAUGGUUUAUCAGGAACACAUUCCACAACAAACUACAUCCAGAAAUUCUGGUCUUUUUUAAAGUCAUAAGCAGAACUCGGUGAAUUUUGCUUGGCAGGACCCAGAGAUGGAAAAGAAAGGGCAGAUCAGCAGAAGCAGGCUCAAUUCUCAAAGCGCUGUGUUUUUCCACAGAAGAGAGGAGAGAGCAGAACUGUUGGUAGUCAUUUUUCCCUACUUCUCCAACAGAGCCAGCGGUACUGGGGAGCUGCAGCCCUGAUUAUUACUUGCAAGCAUUUAUUAAUGUGUGUAUUCAUAUAAUGAAGUAGAAUCUCUAUACCAGGUUGUAGCCCUUCCCAUUAAGCUUCUUGACUGUGCCUAUUUCUCUUGCAUUGACUCCUUCAUGUAGUCCAUCAAUUCUUACAUCUGUGCCAGAGAGCAAAGUUACUCAAAGUUCGGCUACUGCUCGAUUUACCGUGCUUUAUCUGUUCUGCAGUACCCAGCUGUAUUCGUGCUCUCAGCCAGCAGCCCUUCAAGGGCAGCCUGUGCCAUGUUCAGCAGAGGGCUCAGCUGCCUGCCCUGGUCCCAGGACAACAGCCUUCCAAUGGGAACUUACCUUAAUGACACUCGAUUUACAGUGAGCCCAAAGCAGCAAAGGACUCUUUGAAAAUCUCUAGAGUGGACACUCCCAGAGCUGUCUGUAUACACUUCGAAUUAAUUAUUCCCUUCAUGGAAAUUGUACAAGAUGUCCCCUUGCUUCUUUCUGACUGCCUUCCUGCCCUUUUCUGAUAAUCCCUCUCUAUCCUCUGGGCUCUCUCUGGUCCUAAACUUAACAUAUAAAGCUAUUUUUAUCUAGGGGUUAGGGUGUGAAUAAAUUCAGAGAAUGUCUCUCAACAUGACUUUAUGUCUGUAAGCCCUCCUUUAACUUGAUUAGAAAUGCUCAGACUUUCUUGCGA